AUGUCGCUACUGGGAGGGGGUGCUGCCUGGUUUCGAUCUGAUUUUUCAGGUGGCGUGUCUGCCGGCGGUGUUGUUGUGGUGGAGGCCCGUGUGCUCUGCUGUGGUGGUCAGCGUGGCGCCCUGAUUUGGCGCAAGAGGUCAGGAACGCGUCUAUGCGUUUGGUGCAUGGUUGCGACUCGAAACCAGGGCGGUUCUUGGUCUCGGGCAGUGCUCCUCUUUGCCUUGUCGGCACGGUGCGGUGGUUUGUGCCGCGUUCGGUGGUCUUGCUUCCGGUCGGCUAUCGGCAGAUCUGGCGGCUUUGUCAUGAUGUUUGACCACCGACGGUCUCUGAGGUGCAGUUGGCUCGGACGGUUCUAUGUGCUUCCUCGUCGACGGGGUUCUUUGAGGCUGCUGUUGGUUAUUCAGCUUGCCAGUGCCGAUGCGGGAUGA
rnacentral:rRNA from 1 species